rnacentral:lncRNA from 1 species
AACGAGUAAAUAUGCGAAUAAUGCAAUAGAAUAGAAAAUAAAACAAAACCUACCUCAAAAAUCAGUUUUAAUACAAUAUCAUACGAAUUCCGAUGGUUCACGUAAUUAAAAACUUUCAACUUUAGCGGUUUCCUUUGUAUGACGUCAUAUUUAGAAAUGACUUAAAUGCGCCAAAAAGAUUAAUAGACUUUCGCGGAAUUUUAUUUUAUUUUUAUUUUGUUGAUUUCCCCGAGCUCUUGUGCAUUACUUCUUUUUAUUAUGCAUACGAAUAAGAA